rnacentral:rRNA from 1 species
AGUGAACGCUGGCGGUAGGCCUAACACAUGCAAGUCGAACGGCAGCACAGUAAGAGCUUGCUCUUACGGGUGGCGAGUGGCGGACGGGUGAGGAAUACAUCGGAAUCUACUUUUUCGUGGGGGAUAACGUAGGGAAACUUACGCUAAUACCGCAUACGACCUACGGGUGAAAGCAGGGGAUCUUCAGACCUUGCGCGAUUGAAUGAGCCGAUGUCGGAUUAGCUAGUUGGCGGGGUAAAGGCCCACCAAGGCGACGAUCCGUAGCUGGUCUGAGAGGAUGAUCAGCCACACUGGAACUGAGACACGGUCCAGACUCCUACGGGAGGCAGCAGUGGGGAAUAUUGGCAAUGGGCGCAAGCCUGAUCCAGCCAUACCGCGUGGGUGAAGAAGGCCUUCGUGUUGUAAAGCCCUUUUGUUGGGAAAGAAAAGCAGCAGGUUAAUACCCCGCUGUUCUGACGGUACCCAAAGAAUAAGCACCGGCUAACUUCGUG